rnacentral:rRNA from 1 species
GACUAGUGGCGAACGGGUGAGUAACGCGUAAGUAACCUGCCCCUAAGUAGGGGAUAACUCUGAGAAAUUAGAGCUAAUACUGUAUGUGGUGGUGGGGGUAAUGCUUCAUCACUAAAGCCUUAGGGCGCUUAGGGAGGGGCUUGCGUCCGAUUAGCUAGUUGGUAGGGUAAUGGUUUACCAAGGCGAUGAUCGGUAGCUGGUUUGAGAGGACAUCCAGCCACACUGGGAUUGAGAUACGGCCCAGACUCCUACGGGAGGCAGCAGCAAGGAAUUUUGUGCAAUGGGCGAAAGCCUGACACAGCGACGCCGCGUGGGGGAUGAAGGCCUUCGGGUUGUAAACCCCUUUUCUCAGGGAAGAAUAAUGACGGUACCUGGGGAAUAAGUCUUGGCUAACUACGUGCCAGCAGCCGCGGUAAUACGUAGGAGGCGAGCGUUAUCCGGAUUUACUGGGCGUAAAGAGGGCGUAGGCAGUUUUUCAAGUCGAUUGUAAAAUCUCCCGGCUUAACUGGGAGGGGCCAGUCGAUACUGUUAGACUAGAGAGCAGCAGGGGGAGGUGGAAUUCCCGGUGUAGUGGUGAAAUGUGUAGAUAUCGGGAGGAACACCAGUGGCGAAGGCGGCCUCCUAGGCUGUUUCUGACGCUGAGGUCCGAAAGCGUGGGGAGCAAACAGGAUCAGAUACCCUGGUAGUCCACGCUGUAAACUAUGGACACUAGGUAUAGGGAGUAUCG